GGAAUGUAGCUCAGUGAUAGAGUAAUUGCCUCACACCUGAGAGGUACUGGGUUCGAUCCUCAGCACCA
rnacentral:tRNA from 1 species